rnacentral:lncRNA from 1 species
UGAAUACUUUCUAUAAUCAGCGAUCUUCAUUUUUGAUAAAUUGGAGAUUCAUUCAUAAUAAACAAACUAAUAUCAAUAUCAUUUAUCAUGUAAAAUUUACAAUCUUCCUUUAGUUACAGAGAUUCUUGAUUACCCAGGUUAUGGGUAAUCCGCAAUCUGUAACUGAUGGUUAAGGCUGUUUCACAAUUAGCGGUUGCGGAGCGGAAAAUGGACUCUUGCGGUCCGCAUCGCAAGAAUCUAAUUUCCGCUUCCGUAAUCAUUUCACAAAAAGCGGAACCUUUACGUUUAUUUUCCGCUAACCAGUUUGCGGGCGUUUUGGCAAUUUCAACUUGGUUUAAAUUUUUGCCGAUUCGCGAAUGUUUCAACCAAUCAACAAACAGCUUUAUCGUGAAGCAUUCUGUUAUUGACAACAUGGCGGCAUGCAACGACAAACGGGCGAUAAACGAGACAAAAUAAUUAAUUUAAUAGAAAUGAGACCUGCCAUCUGGAAUUCCACAUUAAAAGAACAUAAGAA